rnacentral:rRNA from 1 species
GAUGAACGCUGGCGGCGUGCCUAAUACAUGCAAGUAGAACGCUGAAGCUUGGUGCUUGCACCGAGCGGAUGAGUUGCAAACGGGUGAGUAACGCGUAGGUAACCUGCCUCUUAGCGGGGGAUAACUAUUGGAAACGAUAGCUAAUACCGCAUAAAAGUUGACAUUGCAUGAUGUUGAUUUGAAAGAUGCAAUUGCAUCACUAAGAGAUGGACCUGCGUUGUAUUAGCUAGUUGGUGAAGUAACGGCUCACCAAGGCGACGAUACAUAGCCGACCUGAGAGGGUGAUCGGCCACACUGGGACUGAGACACGGCCCAGACUCCUACGGGAGGCAGCAGUAGGGAAUCUUCGGCAAUGGACGGAAGUCUGACCGAGCAACGCCGCGGGAGUGAAGAAGGUUUUCGGAUCGUAAAGCUCUGUUGUAAGAGAAGAACGAGUGUGAGAGUGGAAAGUUCACACUGUGACGGUAACUUACCAGAAAGGGACGGCUAACUACGUG